GCUGUGAGACUGGACGACGGCACUAGUUUCCACCCGUGCUGGAAUUCAAAUCCACCCAUAAAACACCAGUGAGGCCCUGUAGUGCCUGUGGCUAUAGGACUCAUUCCUCGCUUUGGGCCAGAUCUGAUCCAAAGGGAUGCCAGCAAAGUCUGCAGCAGACAGGCAUGGCAGUUGUUUGUUUCUUUGUUUGUUUUUGUCUUUUAUACUUCAUUUGAUCAUGAGGUUUCAGAAGCUCCUUUCUCAGCAGCGGGACAGAGAGAGUGCAUCUGUAUGCAUGGGAUGGGGGUAUUUAUUCAUAAAACAGAAAAUGUCUCCAGUGAAGCCAAAUUGUAUGGCGAAUAAAAGGCAUUAAAUAGGGCGUCACCUACUCCAAAUGUGUUUAUGUCCCUUUCUCCUUGACUUAGGUUAUGUCCCUUCCAGAUUUCUGAACUUUCUCACUUGCAAAAUAUAGGUCCAGGGCUGUAUACAUAAGCACACUUCUUACUCUGAUUUUAAGCCAUAAAACAAAAGAACAGUGGUAGGGUGACAGAGUAAUGUGUUGUGAUUUUUGAGACUAUGGAGCCAAAAUUCCAUAAACACAAAUUAACCUCUAAAUGAGAGAUUUUAACAAGAAGGCCUUAUCUUGGGACAAGAUCUAAUUAUCAUCUAUUUGUUGUUAAAUGGGUGGAAAACUGUCUGAGCUUCUCUGCGGAGGAACAGAAAAAUCUUCUACAGCUGUGAAGCCUGCCUUCUCAUGGAAAAUGAGUAAUCAUGUCCAGAAAAGGUUCAAUGUCAGAAAAAACCUAGAAGCGUCUGUUUGGUACCUAUCUUGUGGCUGGAGAAGCUGAGAUGACAAGACUGUCAGCUUGUCAGUUUUAUGAGCACAAAAGAAAUUUCAACUAAGAGUCAAGCUAAAAAUGUCAUCUUUUGUAAAAGCACCCCUUAGACUUCAUUUUCAAAACACUCCAUGUGACUUCUGACUGUAACAUGCAAUUUAUAUUUGCAUUUGGAAAUAAAUACAUUAAGCACAAGAAACAAUGUUUGGUUUAGUAAUGGCAGUUAGACAUAUGAUUGCUGACCUAACAAUAUGAGCAUCUUCAAUAUCAUCCUCAAAAAAAAAAAAAAAAAAGAAAAGAAAAAAAAUGGUCAAAUUCCAUGAGUCUUCAGUUGAUUGGUGGCAAAUGAAGAGGACUGCAAAAUACAGUAGGAAUUGCUUAAAGGAAUAAAUGGCACAAUAAGGUCUUGAAGCCUGGACGUGGAAACACAUAAGAUGCACUGAUGUUGUUUCUGAGCAUAUCUGAAUUCUCUGGCUCAUAGUCGUAAAGGACACAUCAAAAUCAUGGUCCCAUCAAAUCUAUCAUGGAAAAGUCACAUGCAGCCCAGAGAGACAUGGAUCCUUUACUUAGAAAUGAAGACAUUCCUAACUGGCUCUUAUGUAGUAUCAGAAUCCUUUUUUCCCAGAUCUUUGAUUUAUUGUAAGUUUGUAGAGAGGUAUGUGAAUUACUGGCUAACCAACUCACCUCAAGUCAUCAUAUUGGACUUGGGAGCACUCUUUCUAAUCUUUUCUUGUCCAAUUCAGAUAGAAAACAUGCCCAAUUCUGCCUCCCAAAGAUUAAGACAAAGCUUGAUGUGAUUUAAUCAAAUAAAUCUAUGAUGACCAUAAAAUAUAUAUCAUUGUUCAAACUUCACUUUGUUUCUAUUAAUAAUAAAACUUCUAAUCUAAGCACUGCAUUUAGGCAAAAUGACCUCUGUUAGUCAUUGAUUCUACAGUUUUUGAAAACCCAUUCCCAGGGAAAGUUUAA